AACCGAUUGUCUGUUCUUUGUGCAUUUAAUCUUUUAUGUAUUUUGUAUUCCAUAAUUCCAUGCGUAGAAUGUUUCUAAAUAAAUUUGCUCAUUAUUGAACAAUGCAACUGCAAGUAUUUUCUUAUACACUUUCCACAAGGAAUUCCCUGGAAAUCAUGGUUGUCUAUGAAGUGAGCAGUCCACCUAUUCCUAAUGCCUCAGAGUGUGAGGCUCACACCGUUCCAUUUCAAUAAAGCAUAUUUCAAAGGCUUCAGAGUUUGAGAGGCAUUUCAUGGCGAGAAUGUUUCGUACCGCUAUCAUUUUUUGGAAUAAUGUUGAAUAGGAAGUUGAAAGACAAGGCAAAGAUCCAUGUAUUUCAAAUUGAGUAGUGAUUUCCUUCUAUAUGCAGUUAAGAUUUCAUGAUAUUAUUUUUUUCGUGAUUAUUGAUUUAUGCUUAUUAUUUGCUGUAACAUUGAGUCAUGUUUUCUGUUUCAGUUAUGUAAGAAUAUUUGAAAGGAAUAUUUGGAAUUUUCUCUGAUCAUUUAUUUGUACAAUGCAUUGUCUAUUUAUACAAGUAUGUAGGAAAUAAGAAAAUAAAUAAAUUCUAAAUUCUGUCCUAAUUUGUACAAUUCUGAUUGGUCACUUAUUUAACAAGAAUAUUCUUUUACUAUGCUAGGAAGCUUCCAAAUGUGUAUAGGUGUUAUGUACAGCUGUGGUGUACCAGGAGAUGUGUGUGUUGAGCUCACUGAGCCAAUUCUACUGAAUCAUUCAUUUGGGCCCAAUAUAACUUUUGACCCAAUAUCUCUUUUGACCCUUUUCUCAUUUUCAGAUAUCUGAACAGACUUCGAUGUAUACAAAGAGCCCGUUUGGAUUGGCUUAUAAGUUGGCUUAUAAGCUGUUUUUAGCUUUUUUGAGUGUUUGGCUGGCCAGCUUAAAGUCAUUUUAUGCUUAAAAUAAGCUCAAAAAAAUAAUUGAACCCAUUUGACUUAGUUUAUCUAAAGCAGCUUAUAAGCUGAAAACAGCUUAUAAGCCAAAAAAAAUAAGUUGGACUACCCCAACUUAUUUUUUUCAGCUUAUAAGCUGCAAACAGCUUUAAGCUGUAAGCCAAUCCAAACGGGCUCAAAGUCUCAUUCGAACAUCUCCCUUUUCCCCUUUUCUAUUCAUCGUCUUCAUCUUUGUUGAUUUUUUCCAUUGAAACAGAUCUUGAGGAAAUUAAGUUACUUUGAAUUCCAACAUCCCCCUCAAGGUGGAGGGGAGCGUAGUGAGACAGAGCUUGCAAGAAUCCCAUGGUGAACAGGCCCAGAAAGAGAUUUUGUAAAGAUGUCGACCAACUGGUCUUUCGAGGGAACAAAUGACAAAGAAAUCAGGCCGGAAAGAUACUGUUGGCAUACAAAAUGACAGUCGAGUUCGACGUGUUUUGUUCGCUCAUGGAAGACCGGGUUGCGAGCAAUGUGGAUCGCUGCUUGACUACCGGAGUUGACCGGAACUGGAAGACACGGUGGAACUGACAGAUCUGCUAGAAGACAAGUCAACCAAGUCAAUUCAGCAACCAAACGUCUCAUUGAACGAUACUCAGCCUCAGCGGAUGAAAGGAAAAUAGAAAUCUGUUUCUUGGAUUUCCAAGAAAUGGGUGAGCCUCCCAAGCUAACAAAGAAACCACUAAUGGACCUCCGAGAAUCACGACAUGAAGCCCAAUCAGCAUCGCAAAAGGCCUGGAGAGAGAGUGAAGAUGAAGAAUUGAAGAACAAACCCUGAUUUGGAUAUUGUUUGAGAUCUGCAGAAUCAGCAGCAGGCUGAAUAGCAUGAGGUCCUGUGAUGAAUCCCAGCUUGUUCUUUGCAGAUAAGGCAAGAAGAAUAGAUCUCUUCCAUCCUUAAUACCCUUUUCCAUCAAAGAGAUUAUUGACUAGCAGCAUACCAGGUGCAUCAGAAGCAUGAAGAUAGUAUGGAUGAUUAGAAUCCACAUUUUGUGAACUGCCCUGUGCUUGUGUAGCAGCAGCUGAGAUGGUUGAGUUUUCAGGCAUUUUGAUAGUGAUUUAGGUUGAUAGAAACAUUUCUCAGAUCUGGAAAUUAGGGUUGAUUAAUGCUCUGAUACCAUGUAAGAAUAUUUGAGAGGAAUAUUUGGAAAUUUUCUCUGAUCAUUUAUUUGUACAAUGCAUUGUCUAUUUAUACAAGUAUGUAGGAAAUAAGAAAAUAAAUAAAUUUUAAAUUCUGUCCUAAU